CCUGGCGGCACUAGCGCGGUGGUCCCACCUGACCCCAUGCCGAACUCAGAAGUGAAACGCCGUAGCGCCGAUGGUAGUGUGGGGUCUCCCCAUGCG
rnacentral:rRNA from 4 species